AUCGAGGUCGCAAACUUCUUUUUAGAUAUGAACUCUUAAAAGAAAUAACGCUGUUAUCCCUAAAGUAACUUAAACUUUUGAUCUUUAAUUAAGGAUCUACAAAUGUUCAGAUAUUACUGUNNNNNNAAUUAAUAUAAACAGUUACUAAUUUUAUUUAUACCNNNNNNGCCCCAGUAAAACACUACNCCCAAUNAAACAUACAUCAACUACACUCUAAGUACAUUUAAUAGUAGAAAUGUUAAGAUUUAUAGGGUCUUAUCGUCCCCCCAAAUUAUUUAAGCCUUUUCACUUAAAAGUUAACUUCAAUAUUUAUGAAA
rnacentral:rRNA from 1 species